GUGCUCUUUGGCAACACAUAUACUAAAAUUGGAGUGAUACAGAGAUUAGCAUGGCCCCUGCUCAAGGAUGACAUGCAAAUUUGUGAAGCAUUCCAUAUUUUA